ensembl:lincRNA Gm1698 predicted gene 1698
UUAUUUUCAUUCUUUUCUUCUUUAGUUGCAAGAAGCACAGGAUCAACACAUAGACGCUAUAAAACUUGCCCAGAAGAUGAAAGAUGACUUACAAAGGGUUGAACAUGAAAAUUCUGAGUUAAAAGUUAAAGUUAAAGAGCAAGCUAAGAAAAUCGAAAAGCUUAGCAGAUGUCUGCAAAACUCACGUGAAAGACUGGAACAAAGUUCAAAGCUGACACAGUCAGGAGUUCGAGAAACUUUGGAGGUAUUAUGUAAGAACAACAUGUCCCCAAUGAAUCAGAUAGGAGUCGGAAUCCACAGUCUGCGGUCUGAACCCGCCCAAAGGAAAACUGUGCAAGACCCAAAUACAAGCAGCCUGAAAAGUUAUGAGCAGCAGUGCAUAGACGAAUUAAGGAUUAGCAAUGCAUUGCUAUAUGAACGAUACAAUCUCUACAGGAAUAAGAGGCUAGAGGAAUCCCGCACCAAAGUUCACAUCACGGUGGAGCAGGACACAUCUCCUCUGAGCACAUCAGAAACAAGGUUUGAUCUUGAAAGCCCUUGUGUGGCAUGUUCUUGCCCUCACCAGUAUGUCUUCCCACGCGAGGCUGGGGUUCUCCCAGGAAACCCAAGGUCUUCCAACUACAGCUCGCAAAGAUGCCACAGGACGGUUGGUUGUACUUUCAUUUCCUCUGUUUUCAGAUUUGUUGCUGGAAUCCUUGCUUUUAAAUUUGGGUACCACCAAAGCACUUAUUUAACCUACAUGUUAAGCAAAUGGACAAUAUAGGUUGAUUAUGAUAGGAGACAAAAUGUUCAUUUUUCUUUUUCAAAAUGUGUCAAGAGUCAAGAGUCCUCAGAAAGUUACCCUGGUAAAUUAUGACCUAAGUGAGCUUGGACUACUUACACUAGAGUAUAAAUGCAACCAUACUUUAGUUUUCAAAAUUAAUCCUUAUUAGUGAAGUCUCUCAUUUUUAUCAAAUACAUUUCAGUAAUUUAAACAACAGGAAAAUGGAAAACAUAAAUGAAUUNNNNNNNNNNNNNNUAUAUAAACUUUAUUAUAGAAAACCUUCACACAGUGAAAUCAGAUCCAGUCUGCAAAUCUCAAUGAAAGAAAAAAUAUUUUUGUGCACUUAUCCACCACCCAACCCAAAAACUUUUAUGAUAUGAAUUAACUUUUCAAAGAAAAGCCAUUAAGGAGAUUAUAAAGAUAAUUGUUUUUCUUGUUUCAACUCUAUCAUGGAUUUUUCAUGUUUUAUUUUUUUUGUAGUGGAUAAGUGCAUAAAAAUCUAUUCAACAGAAAAUGGAAAAGUCCCACAUGAAGGUCCACAGUUGCAGAAUGGCUAUUUAAACUGUAUUCACUGAGGUAGACUUUGGGACGACUGCCUAAUUUCACUGCAUUUUUUACUUGCAAAUUCUUUAUAAUACAGUUUUAGUGAAACUAAAUAAGUAGGUGGCUGGAAAUGGCUCAGUAGUUAAGGGCACUGGCUGCUUUUCUGAAGGACUCGGGUUCGAUUCCCAGCACCCCAUAGGUGCAGAAGCAUCUAUAAAUCCAGUCUCUGGGAAUCUGAUACCCAGUUCUCUUAUUUGUGGAAACUGCACACAGGUGGUGCCCACAUUAACAUGCAGGCAAAAAAAAAUACACACACAUAGAAAUAAAUACACUUGAAAAAUAACUCAGCAGAGAAAUAAGAAGAGCAAUCACUUUGUUUUGUAUCUUCCCUUGGUUGUGUUAAGAUUACCACAUUUAUUAGAUGUUUCUAAGCACAUUGAACAUGAAUUCAUGAGAUGAUAGUUUCAAGAAAGAAGAGAAGAGUCUCCAGAGUUUUAAAGCUAUUUUGUGUGCUUUCUCAAAGAUGGAAGAUGAAGAAAAAUCAGUCAAAGAACUUACAGAAUUAAAACAGACUUUAGAAUAUAAGUUGUAUCACCAGAAGAAGAAAAAUGGUGAAAUAGAAAAGGAGAUUAUUGGAAUUAAGAAAUGUUUGAAAAUGACAAAAACUGGGCACAAAAUUGGAGAAUGUAGUUCUCAUGGGCAUUCAAGAACAGUGCAGUUUUGAGACAUUAAGAAUGUGGCUAGACUUUGUCACAUGACUUGAUGGGCAGAUACAACAUGUCUCUCCCAUGGAUGCAGGACUCAAUGUGGCAGUCUUGAUAUGUCCCAGUGAUAUCUCUUAGGACCACAGCAUCUACACUGAACAUCCAGCUAUCUUUUCUCACCAUAGCCUUGGAAAUUUGGCUUCAGCCGAAGCAACAGCCCCUGAUCCAGGUGCCACCUACCAGCAAAGAUGACAAAGCAUUGCCCAUAAUAAUUUUUUUAAUUAAAAAGUAUAUUAUCAUCUU